AUUGAACGCUGGCGGCAGGCCUAACACAUGAAAGUCGAACGAGUGGCGGACGGGUGAGUAAUGUCUGGGAAACUGCGUGAUGGAGGGGGAUAACUACUGGAAACGGUAGCUAAUACCGCAUACCAUCGGAUGUGCCCAGAUGGGAUUAGCUAGUAGGUGGGGUAACGGCUCACCUAGGCGACGAUCCCUAGCUGGUUUUAGAGGAUGACCCUCCCCACUGGAACUGAGACACGGUCCAAACUCCUCCCUUUCCCUUCCUUCUCUCUUCUUACCCCCUUCUCUCAAGCCUGCUUCAGCCAUGCCGCGUGUAUGAACAAUUCCUUCAGCUUUUCCUGUACUUUCAGCGGGGAGGCGUUACCCGCAGAAGAAGCACCGGCUAACUCCGUGCCAGCAGCCGCGGUAAUAC
rnacentral:rRNA from 1 species